rnacentral:rRNA from 1 species
CCGGUGAAUACGUUCCCGGGCCUUGUACACACCGCCCGUCAAGCCAUGGAAGCUGGGGGUACCUGAAGUCGGUGACCGUAAGGAGCUGCCUAGGGUAAAACUGGUAACUAGGGCU